rnacentral:rRNA from 1 species
CAGGAUUAACGCUGGCGGCAUGCCUAAUACAUGCAAGUCGAAUGGGAGCUUGCUUCCAUGGCGAACGGGUGAGUAACACGUAGGUAAGCCAUACGACAGGACGAGGAUAACCUUUGGAAACGAAGGAUAAUACUGGAUGGGAUAUAGAUUCGCAUGAAUUUAUAUUUAAAGAUUUAUCGCUGUUGGAAGCACCUGCGGCGCAUUAGCUAGUUGGUAGGGUAGAGGCCUACCAAGGCGAUGAUGCGUAGCCGGACUGAGAGGUUGAACGGCCACAAUGGAACUGAGAACGGUCCAUACUCCUACGGGAGGCAGCAGUAGGGAAUUUUCGGCAAUGGGCGGAAGCCUGACCGAAGCAAGUGCCGCGUGAACGAUGAAGUAUUUCGGUAUGUAAAGUUCUUUUAUUUGGAAAGAAAAAAUCAAAAUUGACGGUACCAAAUGAAUAAGCUCCGGCUAACUACGUGCCAGCAGCCGC